rnacentral:Y_RNA from 1 species
GGCUGGUCCCAGGGCAGUGGUGUUUACAACUAAUUGAUUACAACCAGUUACAGAUUUCUUUGUUCCUUCUCCACACCCACUGCUUCACUUGACUAGAAAA